rnacentral:rRNA from 1 species
CCUACGGGCGACAGCAGUCGAGAAUCAUUCACAAUGGGGGAAACCCUGAUGGUGCGACGCCGCGUGGGGGAAUGAAGGUCUUCGGAUUGUAAACCCCUGUCAUGUGGGAGCAAAUUAAAAAGAUAGUACCACAAGAGGAAGAGACGGCUAACUCUGUGCCAGCUGCCGCGGUAAUACAGAGGUCUCAAGCGUUGUUCGGAAUCACUGGGCGUAAAGUGUGCGUAGGCUGUUUCGUAAGUCGUGUGUGAAAGGCGCGGGCUCAACCCGCGGACGGCACAUGAUACUGCGAGACUAGAGUAAUGGAGGGGGAACCGGAAUUCUCGGUGUAGCAGUGAAAUGCGUAGAUAUCGAGAGGAACACUCGUGGCGAAGGCGGGUUCCUGGACAUUAACUGACGCUGAGGCACGAAGGCCAGGGGAGCGAAAGGGAUUAGAUACCCGAGUAGUC